rnacentral:rRNA from 1 species
GAUGAACGCUGGCGGCGUGCCUAAUACAUGCAAGUCGAGCGAACGGACGAGAAGCUUGCUUCUCUGAUGUUAGCGGCGGACGGGUGAGUAACACGUGGAUAACCUACCUAUAAGACUGGGAUAACUUCGGGAAACCGGAGCUAAUACCGGAUAAUAUUUUGAACCGCAUGGUUCAAAAGUGAAAGACGGUCUAGCUGUCACUUAUAGAUGGAUCCGCGCUGCAUUAGCUAGUUGGUAAGGUAACGGCUUACCAAGGCUACGAUGCAUAGCCGACCUGAGAGGGUGAUCGGCCACACUGGAACUGAGACACGGUCCAGACUCCUACGGGAGGCAGCAGUAGGGAAUCUUCCGCAAUGGGCGAAAGCCUGACGGAGCAACGCCGCGUGAGUGAUGAAGGUCUUCGGAUCGUAAAACUCUGUUAUUAGGGAAGAACAUAUGUGUAAGUAACUGUGCACAUCUUGACGGUACCUAAUCAGAAAGCCACGGCUAACUACGUG